rnacentral:rRNA from 1 species
UACGGAGGGGGCGAGCGUUGUCCGGAAUUAUUGGGCGUAAAGAGCGUGUAGGCGGUUCGGUAAGUCCGCCGUGAAAACCUGGGGCUCAACCCCGGGCGUACGGUGGAUACUGCCGGACUAGAGGGUGGUAGAGGCGAGUGGAAUUCCCGGUGUAGCGGUGAAAUGCGCAGAUAUCGGGAGGAACACCAGUAGCGAAGGCGGCUCGCUGGGCCAUUACUGACGCUGAGGCGCGAAAGCGUGGGGAGCAAACAGG